rnacentral:rRNA from 1 species
CUACGGGGUGCAGCAGUCAAGAAUCUUCCGCAAUGGGCGAAAGCCUGACGGAGCGACGCCGCGUGUGGGAAGACGCCUUUCGGGGUGUAAACCACUUUUCUGUGGGAAAAACUAGCGAUGGUACCUCAGGAAUAAGGGGCUGCUAACUACGUGCCAGCAGCAGCGGUAAUACGUAGGCCCCAAGCAUUAUCCGGAUUUAGUGGGCGUAAAGCGCUAAAAGGUGGUUUUGUAAGUCAGAUGUUAAAGACCGGAGCUCAACUCCGGGCCUGCAUCUGAAACUACUUAACUUGAGUAUGGGAGAGGCAAGUGGAAUUACCGGUGUAGCAGUAAAAUGCGUUAAUAUCGGUAGGAACACCAAUGGCGAAGGCAGCUUGCUGGAACAUUACUGACACUAAAUAGCGAAAGCGUAGGUAGCGAAUGGGAUUAGAUACCCGCGUAGUC